rnacentral:rRNA from 1 species
AUUGAACGCUGGCGGCAUGCCUUACACAUGCAAGUCGAACGGCAGCACGGGAGCAAUCCUGGUGGCGAGUGGCGAACGGGUGAGUAAUAUAUCGGAACGUGCCCAGUCGUGGGGAUAACGUAGCGAAAGUUACGCUAAUACCGCAUACGAUCUAAGGAUGAAAGCGGGGGAUCGCAAGACCUCGCGCGAUUGGAGCGGCCGAUAUCAGAUUAGGUAGUUGGUGAGGUAAAGGCUCACCAAGCCAACGAUCUGUAGCUGGUCUGAGAGGACGACCAGCCACACUGGAACUGAGACACGGUCCAGACUCCUACGGGAGGCAGCAGUGGGGAAUUUUGGACAAUGGACGCAAGUCUGAUCCAGCCAUUCCGCGUGCAGGAUGAAGGCCCUC